GGAUUCCACUUUCCCUAUGACUACCCAAACCUGCGGACAGCCCAGCUGGUGUAUGACCGAGAGGUUCAGUGGACGCUGGGAGCCAUUCUAUAUAAAACACGAUUCUUACCACUCAGAUGUGGAAUUAUUCAGUGGUUGUCUACUGUAUCAAUAUUUCAACCCAAUUUGGCUUCUCUGUGGGAAUGACUGCCAAGACAACACGUCCAGUCCUUACUGGGAUCUAGCUACUAGCUCCAAGUACCUAAUGGAUGAUUCGACUUAAGAGUCCUGCUGUCAUCUCAAACUUUUCUCCAGGAACAGCUUACUCAGGAGCAGCAAAUGGAUUUCUCAUGGAAGUUUGUGUUGAUUCAGUGGAGUCAGCUGUGAAUGCAGAAAGAGGAGGUGCUGAUCGGAUUGAAUUAUGUUCUGGUUUAUCAGAGGGGGGAACUACACCCAGCAUGGGUGUCCUUCAAGUAGUGAAGCAGAGUGUUCAGAUCCCAGUUUUUGUGAUGAUUCGGCCACGGGGAGGUGAUUUUUUGUAUUCAGAUCGUGAAAUUGAGGUGAUGAAGGCUGACAUUCGUCUUGCCAAGCUUUAUGGUGCUGAUGGUUUGGUAUUUGGGGCAUUGACUGAAG
rnacentral:sRNA from 1 species